AAGCCAGUCCAUGAAUCUGCUUCCCUGAUUGUGUUUUUGAAUAAGCUGGCAGUAGUAAAGCCAUGUUACAAGCCUAAAUAACACUGGGGCCACUAAGGUCCCUGAAAGUGACUGCAUGA
rnacentral:snoRNA from 1 species